rnacentral:ncRNA from 1 species
ACCGACAGGAUCUUGGCGAUAUAGGGGAUCAGCGGCAGGUUCAGGAUCAGCAGGACCAGAUUGCCGAUGAACAUCGACAUGAUCACCGCCCAGAAGAUCUCCGGCGCGUCGAUCAUCAACCGCGGCCC